UGAGUAAUGUCUGGGAAACUGCCCGAUGGAGGGGGAUAACUACUGGAAACGGUAGCUAAUACCGCAUAACGUCUUCGGACCAAAGUGGGGGACCUUCGGGCCUCACACCAUCGGAUGUGCCCAGACGGGAUUAGCUAGUAGGUGGGGUAAUGGCUCACCUAGGCGACGAUCCCUAGCUGGUCUGAGAGGAUGACCAGCCACACUGGAACUGAGACACGGUCCAGACUCCUACGGGAGGCAGCAGUGGGGAAUAUUGCACAAUGGGCGCAAGCCUGAUGCAGCCAUGCCGCGUGUAUGAAGAAGGCCUUCGGGUUGUAAAGUACUUUCAGUGGGGAGGAAGGCGUUAAGGUUAAUAGCCUUGACGAUUGACGUUACCCGCAGAAGAAGCACCGGCUAACUCCGUGCCAGCAGCCGCGGUAAUACGGAGGGUGCAAGCGUUAAUCGGAAUUACUGGGCGUAAAGCGCACGCAGGCGGUCUGUCAAGUCGGAUGUGAAAUCCCCGGG
rnacentral:rRNA from 1 species